UAAAACAGUACCCACUUUGUACAGGUUUUAUGGGGUUUUGGAAAGUUACAGGGUCAAAUAUAGCAUUUUACAAUUUUCAUUUUUUUCACAUUGAAAUUUGCUAGGUUACGUUGCCUUUGAGACUGUAUGGUAGCCCAGGAAUGAGAAUUACCCCCAUGAUGGCAUACCAUUUACAAUAGUUGACAACCCAAGGUAUUGCAAAUGGGGUAUGUCCAGUCUUUUUAAGUAGCCACUUGGUCACAAACACUGGCCAAAGUUAGUAUUAAUUAGUGAUGGCCCGAACUGUUCGCCUAACUGUUCGCCACGAACCCCCGUCAGC